rnacentral:rRNA from 1 species
AGAGAGAGACAUGCGCGCAUAUCAAUAAGCGGAGGAAAAGAAACUAACUAGGAUUCCCUCAGUAACGGCGAGUGAAGCGGGAAGAGCUCAAAUUUGAAAUCUUCAAGGUUCUACCUUGACGAAUUGUAGUUUAGAGAAGUGUUUUCUGUUGAAGUUUUGGUAAAAGUUCUUUGGAAUAGGACAUCAUAGAGGGUGAGAAUCCCGUAUUUGACCAUUAUUUUCAGCUGUGUGAUACACUUUCAAAGAGUCGGAUUGUUUGGGAAUGCAGUCCAAAAUGGGUGGUAAAUUUCAUCUAAAGCUAAAUAUUGGCGAGAGACCGAUAGCGAACAAGUACCGUGAGGGAAAGAUGAAAAGAACUUUGAAAAGAGAGUUAAACAGUACGUGAAAUUGUCAAAAGGGAAGCGUUUGACACCAGUGUUGUUUUCUCGAAAAUCAAUUAAAAAAGGCAGGAUUUUGUGUUGUAUUGACUUUAUCAGCUUUCUGCACUCUUUUCUUGUCUUUUUUAAUGCACUUUUCGUUUAACAAGUCAACAUCAAUUUCUUUUGUUGUAAAAGGGUCAUUGGAAGGUGGCUUUCUUUUCGGAGAAAGUGUUUAUAGCCUUUGGCCUCUGCAAUCGGAGAGAUUGAGGUCUGCAGCGUAGAUCCUUCGGGGUUAGAUACAUUUGUGCUAAGUUAUAGCCUUUCAUAGACAACUUGUUGACUAUGAUCAGUCAUGUAGCUUACUCGCUUAUGCUAUUUUACCUACGCUUAGGAUGUUGAUGUGAUACUGCGAGCA